rnacentral:rRNA from 1 species
UACGAAGGGGGCUAGCGUUGCUCGGAAUCACUGGGCGUAAAGGGUGCGUAGGCGGGUCUUUUAAGUCAGGGGUGAAAUGCCAAGGCUCAACCUUGGAACUGCCUUUGAUACUGGAGAUCUUGAGUCCGGGAGAGGUGAGUGGAAUUGCGAGUGUAGAGGUGAAAUUCGUAGAUAUUCGCAAGAACACCAGUGGCGAAGGCGGCUCACUGGCCCGAUACUGACGCUGAGGCGCGAAAGCUAGGGGAGCAAACAGG